AUAUAAAAAAGACAAAAAAAAGAUUAGACGGCUAUAUCAAGAUUAAAAAGAUCGUAGGUUUCAAUUCGAUUUAUCAAUGUGUCAGUUCGUUUUGUAGGUAAUACAAUGAUUAUUGCCCGAUGAACUCGAAACGUCAUAAUAAUAGAAUAUAUAAUAGCUUUGGCUACAUGUUUAUAUAUUUAUAUUAUUAUUCUACGGUGAUGUAAGAGAUCAUUUCGAGGAUAUAACGAUGAUAAUAGAUUCGAAUCUGUAAAUAUAAAAACAUGGAUACCGUCGAAUUCGUACGUAUCGAGAAUGGGAAUACGUGCACGGAUGUAUGAUAGUAGUUUACAAUAAAACGAUCGUAUUUGUUUGUUUCUUUUUUUCUUUCCUUUUUUUUUUUUUUUCUUUUCUUUAAUUCAGGAUCGAAACGAUAAUCGUUCUAAUAAUAUCAAUAUUGCGUACAGGAAAGAUCAGUAAAUUUAUCGAUUAUCAAUACGUUCUUUAUUCCUCGAAUAAAGUGGAAAAGGAGGAGGAGGAAGAAGAUGAAGAAAAAAAAGAGAGAAGAAAAAAAAAGAAGAAGAAAAAAAGAAAUCAUCGACUCGUAAUAGUUUUCUUUGGAUUACCUUGGGGAAAAGACAGAGAGACAUGGUGGGGAAGAGAGGCCUUGUCAUACAUGGAACAAAUCGAUUUUCUUCAAGGUAAUUUUCUAACUAGCGUGCGUAUCUCUCAAUGUUCCUUCCUCUUAAACUAUCGCAUAAUAGUCUAUAUAGUACAUACAUAUGUACACGUGCGUUCCGAACGAACGAGAUCCCGUGCAUGGCGAUGACGAUCGAACGUUAACGUCCACUUCGUCGGAAAAGGCCAUAACUGCGCCGCUUAGGAAUCAGGAACGAGGAAACGUUUUGCGAUUCCUACAGAUGGUUGACCUCCUUCGGUAACCUCGGCCGUUCGUCACGCGAGAACACGCAUUCGAGAGGAUCGCGAAUUGUAUCGAUCGUUUGCCUUCCCCAUUCGAGAUUUUACAGAUAAAGAACAAGCUAAGCUUCCUAUCUCCGUACAUAGCUAUAUACGAUCUUUCAUAUACCUAAGUGCGCGCGAGAGCGUACAUAUUACAUACGUGCGUGCGUGCGUGCGUGCGUGCGUACGUGCACAAGCUCGCCUGUGUAUGAGACCGUGUCGAAUCUUAAUUGUAAAUUAAGAGAGACUUUGCAUAGACCGUAUUUCGUGCUACAUUUUACGAGCGGCGAUCCUUAAUACGCACAAACAUGUAAAUGCCAAAUCGUCUGCUGACGCUCUUUGAGGAACGUCUUUAUCAUUUUUUUUCCCAUCCUCCUCCUCUUUUUUUCAUGGUUUCUUUUUCUCUUUUCUUUUUUCUUCUUUUUUCUUCUCUCUCUCUCUCUCUCUCUCUUUUUUUUCUUUUUUUUUUCUUUUUUUACGCAAGCAUUUUCAGUCCGCCGAAAACUUAAAACUCUUCUAAUUCUAAAAUAAACUCUCUCGGUUGUUUUGUAUUAUAUCCCCUCCCAUUAAAGAUCUUCCACAUCAUUAUCGAAUUUGGAAAGACGAAAGUAUCAAAGUUCGACAAAUAAUGUCCUUUAAAUGAAACUUCACGAUGGGAGAGAUAUCUCUCUCUCUCUCUCUCUCUCUCUCUCUCUCUCUCUCUCCCUCUCUGUCUAUCUCUAUGUCUCUCUUUUCUCUUUUAAUGAGAGAAUAUCAACACAGCGGUGACCGAUAAAGCUACACGGCGUGUUUGUCGCAAUACUCGGCGCGUUGCUUAAUAUUACGUAAUUAUCAGUGCUAUGUGAUCCAACGAGGCAAACUCUAUACCACACAGUUUGUCUAUACGCGCUUCUUGAGUAAGAACUAUCGCGGGCUUGUAACAUUUUGAAAUUCCUAUCUUCUUCCCGUCUUCCCUCCCAUCCCAUACCCUCUUCACUUCCCUUCAUUUAUCUACCUACCUACCUUACCUAUCCCCACUACACGAAGAAGUCACAAAUGACUUCUUUCUUAAACGUAUUUAUAUCCCUAUAUAUAUAUAUAUAUAUAUAUAUAUAUAUAUAUAAUGUACGUAUAUAUUUACGUUGUAGCUGUAGGAUUAUGGGAUCCCCAUGUCUAUAGGAAACAAAAAAAUGAAAGAGAAAAAUGUUAGACUUUCGAGAAGAGUCGAAAGAAGAAUGAAAGAGAGAGAGAGAGAGAGAGAGAGAGAGAGAGAAUUAUCUUUGAGUCUCAAUCUUUGAAUUUAAGAUUCAGAAUUUAAGGGAAAAAUAAUAAAAGUUAGACGAAGGCGAGAGGAAGCGAAUCAAGGAGAUACGAUGAGUGAAACGAUGAGAUACGAUUGGUAACAAAGAAAUAAUGUUGUUUAUAUUCUUACGGUAAGGUGACAAAUCAUGCGUAUCUACGAAACGUGUCUACGCUUCUUUUCUAAGGAUCUCGUUUUCUAUGCAAACAACGUCGUCGUCGUUGUCGUCGUCGUCGUCGUCAUCAUCGUUGUUGUCUUUCAGUACGUUUCGAAUUUUGGUGUCUCGAGGAUGACUCGGGACGAGCGGUCAAGGGUGAAACAAGUUAGAAUGGGAAGAAAAACGAAAGGAGAAAAAGAAGAUAGAUGAAGAAUAAAAAUUCAUCGAUCCUGAUAUAAUUUCAUGUAAUAUUAUGGAGACAUUCAACACGCCAUCGCGUACCGAUUGCAUAAUGAGCGGGAAACGAAAUCGGAGACCGGUUCGAAACGCCUGCGUCGCUCCGAUAACGGUAUCAAUGCUCUUGCUCUGUUACGUGAAUACUGACCGCAAUCGUAACGUACCACGACCAUCAAGGAACCGGCAUUGUGCACAUACCUUUACACACAGGAUAUAUACAUAUACAAGUAUUCUAACUAUACGUAUUUUACCGUACGUCGUCCAAGUUCGACGUACUUGAAUCUCUAAUGACGAGGGGUAAAAAAAAAUUAAAACGAAAAAAAAAGGAAAAAAAAAAGAAAAAAAGAAAAGAAAUUCCUACGAAUAUUUUCUUUCUUUUUUUGCUGUUCUUUUUUUCUUUUUCUUAAACAUCAUAUUAUAACGAAUUCAAUAUAGAGAAUAUUAAUAAAGAAUAUUAAUCGUUGUUGAAUCUCUGUUAAUGGUGGAAUCAUGAUAUCUAUAUGACAAUGAAAUUCAAUGGAAAUUUUUCUUCUUUUUUCUUGUUUUUUUUUUUCCGAUUUUUUUUUUUUCUAUUGAUAGUCAAUGAUCUAUCUCGAACGUCGAUUUAUUAUUAGAUAAUUUUCAAUAAUUCUCAUAAUGAAUGGUAUUAGAGAGAGAGAGAGAGAGAGAGAGAG